ensembl:lncRNA
CUCAAAGACUGUUGGGGUGAACUUCUGCCUGGCAUCAGACCAGACAGAUGUUAAUGGAAUCAUUGUUGAUAACAAAACAUAAAACUCGUCUCUUGCUAGUGAGAUGCUUUCUUUGGAGUUAUCUCAAUAGAGAAUGCUUUUCCUCGUGGCAUGCCAGACCUUGGCCACCCCCUCCUGCCCCUGAGAAGCCUCGUGGCUGGGCUUCUCUCCUCUGCUGUCGGGAUCACAAGGAGUGUCACACUCGAGCUCUGUCAGAAUAAUGAAGCAUCUAAAUGAGAAGCUGCUGUGACCAAUCACAACUUUAUCAAGUCAUAAUUCCAUGCUAAUAAGCCAAAUAUAAACAAAUUAAAGAAAAACAAGUGAGCUUUGAACUUCACU